rnacentral:rRNA from 1 species
UACAGAGGUCUCAAGCGUUUGUUCGGAUUCAUUGGGCGUAAAGGGUGUGUAGGUGGCGCCGUUAGUCGGGUGUGAAAUUUCGGAGCUUAACUCCGAAACUGCAUUCGAUACUGCGGUGCUUGAGGACUGGAGAGGAGACUGGAAUUCAUGGUGUAGCAGUGAAAUGCGUAGAGAUCAUGAGGAAGACCAGUGGCGAAGGCGGGUCUCUGGACAGUUCCUGACACUGAGACACGAAGGCCAGGGGAGCAAACGGGG